rnacentral:rRNA from 1 species
UACGGAGGGGGCUAGCGUUGUUCGGAAUUACUGGGCGUAAAGGGCGUGUAGGCGGGCAGGUAAGUCGGGCGUGAAAUCCCUGGGCUCAACCCAGGAACUGCACUCGAAACUACUUGCCUUGAGUGCCGGAGAGGAAAGCGGAAUUCCUGGUGUAGAGGUGAAAUUCGUAGAUAUCAGGAGGAACACCAGUGGCGAAGGCGGCUUUCUGGACGGUAACUGACGCUGAGACGGCG